GUGACUGUAGCAUAACGGAUUAAUGCACUACGUUGUGGUCGUAGCAAAUGCGGGUUCGAUUCCCGUCAGUCACCCCA
rnacentral:tRNA from 1 species